AUUGAGUUGUUCUUCUUCCUACAACAGAAAUCAUUUCAUUUAACUUGAAAAUUUGAAGCUUAGUUACAUCGUUUGAUUGGUUGCUUUGUUUUGGUUGGUUUGGGAGCUUCAAUUACACAAAAGAGUUUGGGGGAGGCUUGAGGUAGUAAUCUUUCUUAAGCUUAGUGCAUCGAGCUUUGGGGGUCAAAUUAGUGCAAGUUCAGCGCAUUCUGCUCCAUCCAUGAAGAAGAAGGGUCUCAAUACGAGAAUUGAGAUUCAAAAACUGGAAAAGACUAAUAUAUUUGUGGAAAUGAUCUGGCAACAACACAACUUCGAAGAGACAGCGUGGGAGCUAGAAUUUUAGAUUCAGGAAAAACGUAUGGAGUUAGUAGGAGAGUUUGGGGGUGGCUUGAGGUAGUAAGCUUGCUCAAGCUUAGUGCAUUGAGAUUUGGGGGUCAAAGUGACUACAUCACUUUUUGUUCAUAUAUAUUCAUAUGUAUCUGGGUUGGUUUAUGAAAACAAUUUUAUCUUUUCUUACUGUUAUAGUUCCCUUCUAUUUGAUUUG